GCGUUCCCUUCAGCAGCACAGAUACUCAAAUUGGAACCAUAGGAGUAAGAUUAGCAUAACUCCUGCACAAGGAUGACCAUUAUCUCUUGGCAACACUGGAGCUGAAA
rnacentral:snRNA from 1 species